rnacentral:misc_RNA from 1 species
GAUGAAGAACGCAGCGAACUGCGAUAAGUAAUGUGAAUUGCAGAAUUCAGUGAAUCAUCGAAUCUUUGAACGCACAUUGCGCCUGCCAGCACUCUGGCAGGCAUGCCUGUUCGAGCGUCAUUUCAACCAUCAAGCCCUAGGCUUGCGUUGGAGCCCUGCGGCUGCCGCAGGCCCCUAAAAGCAGUGGCGGGCUCGCUAUCACACCGAGUGCAGUAGAUUACUCUUCGCUCAGGGCGUGUGGCGGGUUCCAGCCGUGAAACCCCCUACUUCUCAAGGUUGACCUCGGAUCAGGUAGGAAUACCCGCUGAACUUAAGCAUAUCAAUAAGCGGAGGA